ensembl:lncRNA
ACAGAAGGCAGUGUGUUCAAAGCCAAAGACAGAAGACGGGAAACUGCCGGUGCAGCUGAGGUGCAGGAUGCUGGUGGACUUAAAGUGGACUUGCCUAUAGAUCAGGUCAGAGCUGAGACCGUGGAGGAUGAGCUACCCUACUCUCUUUAUCCGCAGAGCUCCAGUUCUCUCCAUCCUGCCAGUAUUACUCCGAGGCCCCCAUCAUCAGGUGGGGGGGAGGUCGGUGCAUUCAGCCUGCACAUUGUUAACACUCAGCAAUGUACCUGCACGACACUGAUUAAAUGCAGCGCUUUUUUUUUUGCAGUCCUCAGCCAACACUUUCCGAAGCGAGGCAGGGAGAGUGUCGCCCCCUCAACAAUAGGGGUGAUGGAUAAGACAAGUCACCUGUACACAUGGGGCAGGAGUGACCAUAGCCGAGUCAUUAUUCCACCUGGACCGUGCUGGACAGAAAUUCACCUAACAAUCUUCAGUGUGCUUGGCAGGCGGCAAAACAUCACUUCCCAAGCUUCACUGCUGCUCAAGAACAACUUGGAAUCCAUACAGUCUCUAAAAUGUGAAGUCGGCACAGCCGCAGUGCCCCUGCUGGCUGGUUGCAGUAUAGUGUUCAGCCCCACUCAAGAACCUUUGACACAUUUGUGACUUUUCUCAUAUUUUCCUUCUUUGAAUAGUGAAUUUCCCCUGAGCUGAUAUCUGCAGUUUUGGUGUUCCUGUUCUGUAAAUACUAGGGGUGCAACGGUACUCGGUAAAAUACCAAAACAUUUAUUUUAAAAUUGGUACAGUAUGUCCAGUAAAUACUGUAGAUUUCUGUGGUCUUUUCUCUUGUGUUCCGAUAAGUUUUUUUUCAUAAGGGGCUAAAACAGACAAGCUAACAUUGAACGAGACUCAUGCCCCAACAAUGUACAGUUAAUACAAUACAAUGAGUAUUUGUGGACAGUGUAUCCAGCCUAGACACAACACCAUGAGUCCAGCCAUAAGUCUGGGGCGAAUGCACCACGGCCUAAUUCUAAAGAGAACAUAAUGAUCAUCCCCGGCAGUAGCUCUGUUGCUUGGUGUUCAUUUGUUUUUAUUGACUGGCUGAUUGAUAGAGUGCUUAUGUGGAACCAUUUGGGUGGGACACCGAAAAGUGUGAUUCACUGUGCUGGUCAUUUUGUUACAUUGAUUAUAGGUCUUAAAGGUGACACAUUAUACCUCCUAUUUUUCAAAAGUGAACUUAUUCCUGGGAUCUUAAUGAAACUUAUGUGACAUGCUUGGGUCAAAAUACCAUAAGUACUACUGGCACAUUUUCUUUGCUUUUUUUUCAAAAGCAACCCUAUUUAGAAAUAUCAGUUUGAGUGUCUCAUGGUAAUAAGCCACUGCAUGGUGUCUGUAAGAACUGGCUUCACUCAUUUUCCCACAUCAUAUCAGGGUACCUUCAGCAACCCCCCCGAUUGCCAGAGUGGAAAACACUUCUGCAUGAAGUCAGCAGCAGCCAAAAUGCAUCCCACAUCUCCUAGCUAACAAAUGUGUGACCAACACGAAGGUUUUGUGCUACAGUAGUGGACAGAGAUGGGUGAACUGUGGCACCCAUGACCCUGUAGCCGUCUCCUAUCGGUGGUUUUAAAGUUGUGGCCGAUCAGACAAUUGCGAAUCAAAUCUAGAA